GACGAACGCUGGCGGCGUGCCUAAUACAUGCAAGUAGAACGCUGAAGGAGGAGCUUGCUUCUCUGGAUGAGUUGCGAACGGGUGAGUAACGCGUAGGUAACCUGCCUGGUAGUGGGGGAUAACUAUUGGAAACGAUAGCUAAUACCGCAUAAUAGCAGUUGUUGCAUGAUAACUGUUUGAAAGGUGCAAUUGCACCGCUACCAGAUGGACCUGCGUUGUAUUAGCUAGUUGGUGGGGUAACGGCUCACCAAGGCGACGAUACAUAGCCGACCUGAGAGGGUGAUCGGCCACACUGGGACUGAGACACGGCCCAGACUCCUACGGGAGGCAGCAGUAGGGAAUCUUCGGCAAUGGACGGAAGUCUGACCGAGCAACGCCGCGUGAGUGAAGAAGGGUUUCGGAUCGUAAAGCUCGGUUGUAAGAGAAGAACGAGUGUGAGAGUGGAAAGUUCACACUGUGACGGUAUCUUACCAGAAAGGGACGGCUAACUACGUG
rnacentral:rRNA from 1 species